UUAUGCAUGAGAAAGAAACGAAAACGUUUCUUUUUUUUUUUUUCGCUAGCUUCAUAAUGUAUAUUCCAGUUUGUUUUUGACUGUAUUAUUCAUAUGAAUUCUUCAGCGAUUUCCGUCCUUAUAGCGCAGGUACUGGACGUAGCUAGUCUCUGAUGUGCAGUCAACAAUUGGUAGUCCCUUCCUGAUAAAUAUGCACUUCACGUAGAUACAGGCCACAAAUACUACACGCUUGUCUGCGCUACACAAGUGUCUAUGCACACAUUGUGCAUAGACACGUAAUGUUCCACGUGCAAAAAGCUUCCCCCUCGCAUACAUUUUAUGUGUUUCGUAUUGCGGAGCAGAUGCCCUUUCUACAAACCACUUCCACACAAGUAUAGUCUCACGGGUUAAUGAGGCCAAAGUAUAGUGAGGCCACUAUAGCCAGAGCCCCAUAGCCGACAAAGCCCGCAUAUAAAAGCCCCAAAAGCCAACAUAUAAAAUUCGGGAAACCACCCGUAAGCACCAAAGCUACAUACGCGAAGGCGCCGAUGCGGCGUCAGUACCAGACCGCUACGCGCGAAAUCGCCACGGGUGGCGCUGUCGAUCAAGCGAACGCAGCGUCCUCCAGCUAGUGCACGGUGCCCAUAUGCCUGUCUGUCCUGCAUGGGAAGACCUUGAGUUUUGGGAAACAAUGCUGACCAGUGGUUGUUAGUGGAAUUUUGCAAUUUUGAAUGAUUCCUGAUUUUCGUCUUUUGUUGCUAUCGGUAAAGUUUGACUUAUGAUGACAAUUUUAUGUGUGUCGUAAAAUCAUGUUCCAGCAGUAGGAAUUUUGCAGUACGAACAUGUGUGGAAGCCUGAAGUCUUUUUGAAGGCUGUAAAUUACUUAUAGUAUUAUUUCCCAGGGAGCACACAAUGUCGGGAAAAUAUUGGGAGCGGACGGCAAAGAACCGGGUAUAUUGCCCGAUAUUAGGCGAUCAUGCGCCGUUCGAAAGAGAAGACGACAGAUGAACAGAGAAAGAAUGCGCCCACCUCCUUCUUCUUGCAUUCAGGCCAUCUGCGCGCGGCUAGCCUACUGCGUAUGACCGGCUUCUGCUGCGCAUGAGCAGAACUCUUCCGCCUGCGCUGCGUCGUUGACAUUUCAGAAGGAAGAGCGGGUAAACGCAAGGUGUGACAGGUGUGACGAUUGUGCCAGCGGAGGCACAGUAAGCGGGUUUCGCCGCCGCGACAAUAGUGUCGCCGCUGGCAUUUCCCGCCAAAUUCCGGCUAUUUACUUUCCAUUGGCUCCGGUCCCCCACGUGACCUUUCUCGAUCAUGAUUGGCUGAGGCUCAUUUAACCGGUGGAUUCGCCCGUGUUCGUUUCUCCGAGGCGCCGACCUGUCUGACCGUUGUGUAGCUGGCGUCUACGUAUGUGAGCAGACGGUGAUUUCGUUUCGUGGAUUUCGAAGAUGUUCGAGCCAUGGACGAACGCCUGAAUGAAAGACACCGACAGCUGUUCGUGGCCCUGCGAUCCGCGAGCAUUGUCCCCUGUCACCAGAAAAUUCGACAGUUGUGCUGGGAUGAAGCGGAUGGCUUCUGCGACUCAUCACGUGCUAUAUAUGUGUAUAAUAAUAUCUACUUUCUCCAAACCGAAUAGAUUUCCUUAAGGAUUGUAUAAUAUGAUAGUCAUGCUUUCUGUUGCUCGGCACUAUUUAUUCUUUAUUCUGCAGUAUUCUGUAAUAAUCGUGUAGAUUUACUUGCAUUCAAAUGUUGCUUCUUGUUUAUAUGUUUACCGUGUCAAUAAAUUUGUACAUGUGAA